AACGAACGCUGGCGGCAUGCCUAACACAUGCAAGUCGAACGAGACCUUCGGGUCUAGUGGCGCACGGGUGCGUAACGCGUGGGAACCUGCCCUUAGGUUCGGAAUAACUCCCCGAAAGGGGUGCUAAUACCGGAUAAUGUCUUCGGACCAAAGAUUUAUCGCCUUUGGAUGGGCCCGCGUUGGAUUAGCUAGUUGGUAGGGUAAAAGCCUACCAAGGCGACGAUCCAUAGCUGGUCUGAGAGGAUGAUCAGCCACACUGGGACUGAGACACGGCCCAGAAUCCUACGGGAGGCAGCAGUGGGGGAUAUUGGACAAUGGGCGAAAGCCUGAUCCAGCAAGGCCGCGUGAGUGAUGAAGGCCUGAGGGUUGUAAAGCUCUUUUACCCGGGAUGAUAAUGACAGUACCGGGAGAAUAAGCACCGGCUAACUCCGUG
rnacentral:rRNA from 1 species